rnacentral:rRNA from 1 species
GACGAACGCUGGCGGCGUGCCUAAUACAUGCAAGUAGAACGCAGUUGCGAACGGGUGAGUAACGCGUAGGUAACUGCCUGGUAGCGGGGGAUAACUAUUGGAAACGCUAGUUAAUACCGCAUACUACCAGAUGGACCUGCGUUGUAUUCGCUAGCUGGUGGGGUAACGGCUCACCAAGGCAACGCUACAUAUCCGACCUGGUAGGGUGAUUGGCCACACUGGGGCUGAGACACGUCCCAGACUCCUACGGGAGGCAGCAGUAGGGAAUCUUCGGCAAUGGGGGGAACGCUGACCGAGCAACGCCGCGUGAGUGAAGAAGGGUUUCGGAUCGGAAAGCUCUGUUAUUAAGGAAGCGGUACUUAACCAGAAAGGGACGGCUAACUACGUGCCAGCAGCCGCGGUAAUAC